rnacentral:rRNA from 1 species
CGCCUCUUGCCCUCUAAGUAUAAGAGGUCCCGCCUGCCCGGUGAUUUAUUUUAACGGCCGCGGUAUCAUGACCGUGCAAAGGUAGCGUAAUCACUUGUCUUUUAAAUAAAGACCUGUAUGAAAGGCAAAACGAAAGCUCAACUGUCUCUUUAAUCUAAUCAGUGAAAUUAAUUUCUUCGUGCAGAAGCGAAGAUAACCAUAUAAGACGAGAAGACCCUAUGGAGCUUAAAAUACAAAAUUAAUUGUACCGUUAUACCAGCCAAUAGGUAAAAAAUAAAAACGUAUAAUUAUAAUUCAAAUUUUCGGUUGGGGCGACCACGGAAGAGAAAAUAUCCUCCGAGAUAAGUAAUUUAGAAUUACACUUCAAAAAUUAAAAUAUUUAUUGUAAAUGAUCCACUAAGUGACCAACGAACCAAGUUACCCUAGGGAUAACAGCGCAAUCCUUUCUAAGAGUUCAUAUCGACGAAUGGGUUUACGACCUCGAUGUUGGAUCAGGACACCCAAAUGGUGCAGCCGCUAUUAAAGGUUCGUUUGUUCAACGAUUAAAGUCCUACGUG